rnacentral:tRNA from 1 species
GCGUUGUUAGCUCAGCUGGAUAGAGCACCAGGCUACGGACUUGGGUGUCGGGGGUUCAAAUCCUCUACAACGCG